rnacentral:rRNA from 1 species
CGCCAAGCUAAUACAUGAACUAAGGGACGCGUUCUGUUCCGGCGGUGGGGCAACUCACCGCCUUGACGCGUCCGGCGAAUGAAUGAAAGUAAAACCAACGCCUUCACCGGCAGUAACACUUAGAAGUGCUGACUCAAUUCAUUCCGUGCGAAAGCUGGGUUUUUUACCUGGCGUCUUUUGACGAACAACUGCCCUAUCAGCCAGCGAUGGCCGUGUAGUGGACUGCCAUGGCGUUGACGGGAGCGGGGGAUUAGGGUUCGAUUCCGGAGAGGGAGCCUGAGAAAUAGCUACCACUUCUACGGAGGGCAGCAGGCGCGCAAAUUGCCCAAUGUCAAAAAAAAACGAUGAGGCAGCGAAAAGAAAUAGAGCCGAGAGCGCCUUUGGCGUUGUCGUAUUCAAUGGGGGAUAUUUAAACCCAUCCAAAAUCGAGUAACAAUUGGAGGACAAGUCUGGUGCCAGCACCCGCGGUAAUUCCAGCUCCAAAAGCGUAUAUUAAUGCUGUUGCUGUUAAAGGGUUCGUAGUUGAACUGUGGGCCUUUGAGGCGCAUUGGUUUUGUCCCGUCCACUUCGGAUUGGUGACCCAUGCCCUUGAGGUCCGUGAACACACAGAACCAAGAAACACGGG